GACAGAGGAUGCAAGCGUUAUCCGGAAUGAUUGGGCGUAAAGCGUCUGUAGGUGGCUUUUCAAGUCCGCCGUCAAAUCCCAGGGCUCAACCCUGGACAGGCGGUGGAAACUACCAAGCUGGAGUACGGUAGGGGCAGAGGGAACUUCCGGUGGAGCGGUGAAAUGCAUUGAGAUCGGAAGGAACGCCGGUGGCGAAAGCGACGUGCUGGACCUCUUCUGACGCUGAGGCGCGAAAGCUAGGGGAGCAAACGGG
rnacentral:rRNA from 1 species